rnacentral:lncRNA from 1 species
CUCUAAGUCUUGAAGGUGCCAGACCGCUGGGCACAGGCCUCUCCUGGCCUCCACCCCCUGCCAACCGCUACUCCAAGGAGUGGCAGAAGCUCAACUAUGAUAUCCAUACCCUGCGGCAGGUUCGAAGGGAAGUAAGAAACAGAUGGAAGUGCAUCUUAGAAGAUUUAGGUUUUCAAAAGGAAGCUGACUCUUUGUUGUCAGUGACUAAACUCAGCACCAUCAGUGAUUCUAAAAACACAAGGAAAGCUCGAGAGAUGUUGUUAAAACUGGCUGAAGAAACCAAUAUUUUCCCAACAAGUUGGGAGCUCUCAGAGAGAUAUCUCUUUGUUGUGGACCGUCUCAUUGCACUUGAUGCUGCAGAAGAGUUCUUUAAGCUUGCUCGUCGAACUUACCCCAAGAAGCCUGGGGUUCCAUGCCUGGCAGAUGGCCAGAAAGAACUGCACUACCUUCCGUUUCCAAGUCCCUAAAGGAGAGGCUCAGGGGCAGAAUGGGAAUUCUUCCAUGAGGACUCAGCAGUCAACCAAAGUUGGACAAUUACAUGUAGAAGAGAGUGAGCAAAUAGAGUUUGCUUAGUGAAAAAUGAUACUGAAUUCUACAUAAAUGUAAAGUCUUUAAUCUGAGGACCCUGCCCCAUGAAUUGUGCAGGCUGCAUUGAAACGCCUUGGUGAUCUCAUAUUUAGGAAGAAAGUUAAAGAGUUGGUCAGAUGGAUAGUUCAUAAUGGGUGGUUCCAUUCUGAGAGCCCAUUGCCCCAGCUUUGGUUUUAGUUGUGUCAUAAUCUCUGAUCAUUAAUCCUACUGACUGAGUGGACUAUUUCAGUUAAUAAAACAAUAUGAUUAAUA